UACGUAGGGUGCGAGCGUUGCCCGGAAUUAUUGGGCGUAAAGGGCUCGUAGGCGGUCUGUUGCGUCGGGAGUGAAAACUCAGGGCUUAACCCUGAGCCUGCUUCCGAUACGGGCAGACUAGAGGUAUGCAGGGGAGAACGGAAUUCCUGGUGUAGCGGUGAAAUGCGCAGAUAUCAGGAGGAACACCGGUGGCGAAGGCGGUUCUCUGGGCAUUACCUGACGCUGAGGAGCGAAAGUGCGGGGAGCAAACAGG
rnacentral:rRNA from 1 species